CCCACAUCGGCUGAAGCUACACCAUGAAGCUGUUUGUCUGCAUGAUGCUGGCGACGAUGAUUGUCAUGGCAACGCUGAUCGACGACUCCGAGGGAUGGAGGCGUCGGCGCAGGCGCAGGAGGUCGAGCGGGUCGAGCGGUGGAUGUCUGACCUUGGAUGCAGAUGCUGACUCAGAGUUGAGGGAGGUUGUGGAAGAGGCGAGGUCGCUCCUGGAGGAACUUGAUGAGGCCAGUGAACACUUGGAUACUAAACAAGUGGAGAACACACUCGCGGAUCAGGAAGAAGGUCGAACGAGAAGGAGUCUCCAGUAAGAAAUUGUAUAAAAUUGAAACUGAUUUAGAACCAAAGGACGAUUAGUCGGCAAUUUAUUUUCUCGGAUGGAAUAUCUUUUGUCUCGUAUGACUCAUGUAACAAGAAAUGUUAUUCAAAUCAAAGAGAAUGCCACUUGAAAUGGUAAAGCAGCUUUGCGUCUAAUAUUGGAUAUGAUCUGUUGACUUACAAAUCACUCGGAAAAAGUGAAGAGAGAGACUCUCGAUCGAGGAAUUUAGUCAAGUUAAAACUGGUUUAGAAGUUCAUAAGACGAUUUGAUUUUUCCUGGAUUGAAUUAGUUUUGUCUCUUAUUUUCUCUCUCCUUUUACACAACAUGCAAUGUUCGUCAUCUCAAUUCAAAGGCAAUGUCACUAAUAAUGAAGUGAAUCUGUUUAAACAGUAAUUUAUAGUGAAAUAUUGCGUUUUCAUUUUUGUGAUCUUGCUGGUUCAAUAAAACAUUGACAAACUUGCGA